GAUAAACGCUGGCGGCGUGCCUAACACAUGCAAGUCGAACGUCCUCUCUCGCAAGAGAGAGGGAGUGGCGGACGGGUGAGUAACACAUGGGUCACCUACCCUUAAGUGAGGAAUACCGGCGAGAAAUCGCCGACAAGACCGCAUAGGCUCUCUCUUUUGCAAGAGAGAGCAAAGCUUCGCAAGAGGCGCUUGAGGAUGGGCCUGUGGCCGAUUAGCUGGUGGUAGGGUAAUGGCUUACCAAGGCGACGAUCGGUAGCUGGUCUGAGAGGACGAUCAGCCACACUGGGAUUGAGAACGGCCCA
rnacentral:rRNA from 1 species